GAUGAAGAACGUAGCGAAAUGCGAUAAGUAAUGUGAAUUGCAGAAUUCAGUGAAUCAUCGAAUCUUUGAACGCACCUUGCGCUCCUUGGCAUUCCGAGGAGCAUGCCUGUUGAGUGUCAUUAAAUUCUCAAGACCUGUCUGCUUUUUUGAUAGGUAUUGGAUUUUGGGGGUUGCAGGCUGUUUCAAAUAAAUAGCCUUGCUCUCCUUGAAUGUAUUAGUGGAGAAAAGCCAUUGAACUCCAUUGGUGUGAUAAAACCUAUCAAUGCCAGGAGCAAUAUCACUACUUCUCUCUGCUGUCUAACUGUGACUGUCUGUAUUAAUUAGUAUGGAUGGGGACAACUUGACCAACUUGACCUCAAAUCAGGUAGGACUACCCGCUGAACUUAAGCAUAUCAAUAAGCGGAGGA
rnacentral:misc_RNA from 1 species